rnacentral:rRNA from 1 species
GAACUUAAGCAUAUCAAUAAGCGGAGGAAAAGAAACCANCAGGGAUUGCCUCAGUAACGGCGAGUGAAGCGGCAACAGCUCAAAUUUGAAAUCUGGUCGCAAGGCCCGAGUUGUAAUUCGCAGAGGAUGCUUCGGGUGCGGCAGCGGUCUAAGUUCCUUGGAACAGGAUGUCAUAGAGGGUGAGAAUCCCGUAUGCGAUCGACGGCCAACCCCGUGUGAAGCUCCUUCGACGAGUCGAGUUGUUUGGGAAUGCAGCUCCAAAUGGGUGGUAAAUUCCAUCUAAAGCUAAAUACCGGCCAGAGACCGAUAGCGCACAAGUAGAGUGAUCGAAAGAUGAAAAGCACUUUGGAAAGAGAGUUAAACAGUACGUGAAAUUGUUAAAAAGGAAGCGUUUGCAACCAGACUUGAUAGGGGUGAUCAGUCGUCCUUCGGGGCGGCGUACUCGCUCCAUUUCAGGCCAGCAUCGGUUCUGGCGGCUGGACAAAAGCGACGGGAACGUGGCUCUCCUUCGGGGGAGUAUUAUAGCCCGCCGUUGAAUGCAGCCCGCUGGGACCGAGGACCGCGCUUCGGCUAGGAUGCUGGCGUAAUGGUUGUAAACUCCC